UCCGUGUUAUCGCUGAAUUGGAAAAGUAAAAAGCCAGCUAUGCUGGAGUUACUAAGGGACAUGCUGGUCUCUGCCAUGGCAUCUUCGUGAUUUUCAAGGGUAUUUGACUGUAUUUAAUUUGCCACCUAUAUUAACUUUAUAAGCCUAUUCCCACAUGAAAUGUGUCCCUAUUAUAUGCCCCAAGAGGGACACAGAGUAAGCCUCUUGCAGUGGAUAUGUUGUAUGGGACUUCACUUAGUGAGUGCUUAAUACCUACUUGGCACCCCACCAAGCCCUUUGCAACCAUUCCUUGCAAUCCUUGUGACAUCCUUGGCAGUAAAUAUUAUUAUUCCCAUUAAACAAAGAAAUGCAGAGAAGACAGCCAUCCUGCUAGGUAUGGCUUAGCCGGUAAAGGGCAGAACCAGAUUCCAGCCUGGCUCUUUCAUGACCUAUGUUUACUUUCUCUUUCUCAUUGAUUCCUAGAAGCUCAGAAUUAUACUAAGAGACUACCAUCCGCCUCAUGACUCAGUCUGGGCUUCCUUUAUUAGGCCUCCUAAGAUGUUUUCUCUUCUGUAAAAUGGGAGUUUGGAACUCCUAAUUUUAACAUGUGCAACUCUGGUUUACACAAGGCAGGCUGGGUGCUUGGGACCACAGGAUGGAUCGUCACAGGCUGUGAGGAUGCAAGAACGAAGCGUAAGCAGCUGUGCUUGGUCAGAGGAAGGGUUCCAGGAAAGCCACACGGAAGAGAUAGCAUUGGACUGUGACCAGGACUAAAAAGAUGAUGUUGCCUUGGCAGACAACUGGAAAAACAUCAUAAGCAGAGAGAACAAUGUCUAAAAUAUCAACCAAGGUAUUUUGCAACCAGUUACGACUCUGAUUCUGAUUUUCAUGCUUCCUACCUCUUUCGCCUUGGGUAAGUUACUAAACCUAUCAUUUAGUCUUUCUUAUUUGUAAAUUGAUUCGAAUAACGUCUUUCAAAAAGGUAUUGACAUUGACCUUACAUUGUGGGAUUUCACUAAUCUAAUGCUUGGUGUAUAGAAGGUACCCCAUAAAUUUCAGGCUGGAACUAGCAGAGGCAUGGCUUAUUCAUGGAAUGCAAAGGACAGGAGGAGCGCAGCAUAAUUCAGUGUUUUAAUGAAGGUGUCCAAGGGUAAGACCCUUGGGAAAUGA
rnacentral:lncRNA from 1 species